CUGCUCAGUAACACGUGGAUAACCUACCCUUAGGACCGGAAUAACCCCGGGAAAUUGGGGAUAAUACCGGGUAAGCCAUAGACGCUGGAAUGCCCUAUGGUUCAAAGCUCCGGCGCCUAAGGAUGGAUCUGCGGUCUAUCAGGUUGUAGUGGGUGUAACGUACCUACUAGCCGACGACGGAUACGGGUUGUGAGAGCAAGAGCCCGGAGAUGGAUUCUGAGACACGAAUCCUGGCCCUACGGGGUGCAGCAGGCGCGAACACUUUACAAUGCGGGAAACCGCGAUAAGGGAACCCCGAGUGCCAGCAUCAAAUGUUGGCUGUCCGGAUGAUUAAAAAUCAUUUGUUAGCAAGGGCCGGGCAAGACCGGUGCCAGCCGCCGCGGUAACACCGGCGGCCCGAGUGGUAGCCGUUUUUAUUGGGUCUAAAGGGUCCGUAGCCGGCCUGAUAAGUCCUUUGGGAAAUCUGGCAGCUUAACUGUCAGGCUUCUAAGGGAUACUGUCAGGCUUGGGACCGGAAGAGGUAAGGGGUACUCCAGGGGUAGGAGUGAAAUCUUGUAAUCCCUGGGGGACCAUCUGUGGCGAAGGCGCCUUACCAGAACGGGUCCGACGGUGAGGGACGAAAGCUAGGGGAGCAAACCGGAUUAAAUACCCGGGUAGUCCUAGCUGUAAACGAUGCUCGCUAGGUGUCAGACACGGUGCGACCGUGUUUGGUGCCGCAGGGAAGCCGUUAAGCGAGCCACUUGGGAAGUACGGUCGCAAGGCUGAAACUUAAAGGAAUUGGCGGGGGAGCACUACAACGGGUGGAGCCUGCGGUUUAAUUGGAUUCAACGCCGGAAAACUCACCGGGUGCGACAGCAACAUGUAGGUCAGGCUGAAGGUCUUACCUGAAUCGCUGAGAGGAGGUGCAUGGCCGUCGUCAGUUCGUACUGUGAAGCAUCCUGUUAAGUCAGGCAACGAGCGAGACCCGCGCCCACAGUUGCCAGCAUGUUCUCUGGAACGAUGGGUACGCUGUGGGGACCGCCGCUGCUAAAGCGGAGGAAGGAACGGGCUACGGUAGGUCGGUAUGCCCCGAAUCUCCCGGGCUACACGCGGGCUACAAUG
rnacentral:rRNA from 1 species